UAAAUUUAAAAUUUAGAAUUUAAAAGACAAAUUUGUAUUUUAAAAUUUUAAAUUUAAAAAUUUAAAUUUAUAAAUUAUAAUUUAAAAUUUGAAAUUUAUAAUUAAAAAUUUGAAAUUUAAAAUUUGAAAUUUAUAAUUUAAAAUUUGGAUUUUGAAAUUUGAAAUUUGAAAUUUUUAAAUUUAAAAUUUUAAAUUGUAAAUCUGAGAAAUUUGAAAUUUAAAAUUUAAAAUCUAAAAUCUAAAAUUUAAAUUUAAAUUUAAAAUUUAAAUUAAAUUUUAACUUUAAAAAUCUAAAAUUUAAAAUUUAAAAUUUAAAUUAAAUUUGAAGUUUAAAAAUUUAAAAUUUUAAAUUUCUUGGUGAUGGUAGAAUGAUAUAUAUUUGAAAAGACCAAAAAUUAAGUUACUUUUUAAAAUUUAAAAUUUAAAAUUGAAGUUUAAAAAUUUAAAAUUUAAAAUUUGAAAAUAGAAAAUUAAAAUUCAAAAUUUAAAAUUUAAAAGUUGAUGAUUCAAAAUUUUAAAUUAAAAUUUUAAAAUAAUGUAUUGAAAGGGUUUCAGGAGUUAGAGGGGUAAAAUUGUCAUUUUACAUAAUAUACAAUAUUACUGGUUUUCAGUAAUUCAAGAUACACACCCCCUUCUCGGUAAUAUUUUUGGUGUAAUCUUGCACCAUUUGUAAUAUUACAUUACCGAUUCGAUUACAUACCGGAUGAACCAAACAUAGUAAUCCUGACAGAGUUACCUGUAAUCCUGCCAGGAUAAUUCGAACCAAACGCACCCUAAUAAUACUAUAUAUUACAUAUAUUAUAUAGACAAAUAUUUAAUAUAUAAC
rnacentral:lncRNA from 1 species